CGGCUCCACGAAACGCGACGCGCCGUAUCGACUCUUGUAGUAGGGCAUCUCGCUUGAACGUCCUUGUCUCCUUUGGAGCCUCUCUCUCGAGCAUGGGAACUACCCUCGAGCGUGGCUCUUCGACGGAAAUUAGCUUCCAACUACGUCGAGGGAAGAGAUCGUUAAUUGCGGAGUCCUUUCUUUCUUCCUUUCUUUCUUUCUUUCUUUCUUUCUUUCUUUCUUUCCUUCUUUCCUUCUUUCUCUUAUGGUUAAUCCUACCGCACGUCGUUUUCUAGUGUGCUUCGAAAGAGGAAUUUUAGAAAUGUUCAUCGAGGCGCCUGAGAAUUCGCGAGACGAAAUACGGGCUCCAGCAGAUCGCCUUUUACUUGACACGCCCGACAAAGUUCGGCGUUUCGUCGCAUCGACAACAACGACGAACGAACGAGAGCACGCAAGAACCAUGUAGUAUACGUUUCGCACAUUGUUAGAACGUUAAUAAGAAGAAAUCACAAAAGAGAAUUUUUCGAUUUCCAGACGAGCCUCUUCGUCGACUAUGUCGUUGGCUUCCUCGUCACGUGUGUUUCACGUAGCACGUGUGGGCCAGAAUGUGGUAUUGUGUGUCCGAGAAAUGGGAACCAUCGAAAAUACCAUUGUCCGAUUUACGACAAGAAAAACUUAAGCCGAAUUUUUCUCAAAUGGUUACCAUUCGCACUUCGAUUCUUUCAAAUAGCAACAACAAGGGGCAUAACGUUAUUUUCUUUUUUCAUCAAUAUGGUCAACACGUGUGGACAUCGACGUUUUCUUCCCUUCAGACUAUCGAAGUCGACAUCAAUGUUUAAAAUUUUUAUGUACCAACCGAUAAUAAUCGCACCUUCGAGGGACUCAGCUGUUGUGGAUUAAGAUAAUCGUCGGAAUCGGUAGAAAGUUCUUUUUAUAAGAGGACACGAAAUCGAAAUUUCGAUAGUUGUCGAAUACAUUUGACGAAAAGGGCUUGCUCCGAGAACUGGCGAAAGGAUUCAGAAAACGUAAUUAGUAAUAAUGACGUCGUAAUAUAAGUUAAUAAUUAUCGAACGAAAGUUCGAAUUUGCGUUACGACAAAUAUCAAA